UUAAUAUCUUUGAAAAGGAGAGUAGGCUUUAAUAUGUAUCAUAGAGAAUCGGGGAUGGUGGAAGCCCGAUAUACGAUUAUAGCUGAAGCGCACCUUUGAGAUUUUAGCUGAACUGAGUAGGCUAAAUGGUUUUCCUCCAUUAAAGGGAAUAAAAGAGGGUGUAUUUAUGCGCCAAUAAGAGUGGUAACGCGGGCCAUUAAGCUCGUCUCUUAA
rnacentral:ncRNA from 1 species